rnacentral:snRNA from 1 species
GCAUCCUUUGGCAGCAUUCAAAUUACAAUGUUACAGAGAAUGUGUACCUGGCCCCUGCACAAACAUGAUGCACAAGUUCACGAAGUGUUUCAUACAUUU